UUUCGAACAAGUGAACAACUACUGAAAAUUAUUUUUAGGAUUGGUUGGGGAUGGAGGGGGUUGGGAAUUCGGGAAGGGUAGUAAACUAGAAACAGAAUUUUCUUCUGCUUCGAAAAUGUAUUUCUCUGCAGUCUAGAAAUGCCCAUGUUCAGAAGUUAUCGUUAUCGCCCUCACUGCCGUAGUGUCGUGAUUCUCAGGCAAACAACGUGGUUGUAAUUUUCAAAUGCAUCCACUAUCCUAGCAAUCUUCAAACCGACGUGUCCGCAGGCGAAUUCCUUCCUGCUUAAAAUGUCUUGAUUGGUGCACAGCUUUUGAUUAUGUAUCCAUCAAUUUGAAUAGGUUUCCUGUGAUGAAGGUACUGGUGUACCUUGUUGAAGUCCUGGUUUCAUCCAAUUAGAACUCGGGAAUUGGGCUCUCUCCUAACGGGUACAAUCCAUUCUAUAAUUGGUCGGAAAUUAUAAUGGCAAGCAACACCAUCGGCUCGGGUAUCCAUUUUGGAAAAUGGUGUCCGUAAGGUGCGUUUCGUGUCAGAUGUUUUCCAAUUUAAUAAAAUUUCAGAUGGAUGAGAUCAACCCGACUACUUCGUCUGAAAAUAUGUGACCUAAACUUAUGUAGGAUUCGAAUAUGGUUUAUCCCCAGUAUUUUGGUAAUAAAUAAAUUUGUCUAGGGAAUCAACUACGGUAUUGGUCUUCAGGAUUUGGCAUUUAUUUUGUGCUUUAUAGUUCGUAAUUGAUAUAAGUUCGCACUUUACAUCAAAUUAAACUGUUUUUCGCAUACUUCCGGUAUUAUUUAUUGAGCAAAUUGUGAAGACAUUGUUACACGGAUUGUUAUUGACAAGCUACGAAAAAGCGUAAAGGUGAUGGCGCCAUUAGAACGCUGCUGUGGCUCAAUUAAAAAACCUAGUCAACACAUUGACAUUUAGCGUCAAAUUAUUGGGAGCAGAUUUCACUUGACGUGAUUGCGUUACUUUUUUUUUUUUUGGUUAAAUUGCGUCCAUUUUGUCGUCGGAGCUUGGGUUAUUUGUCUGCUGGGUGAUAUAACUAGUUGAUGGAUAUUUCUGUUGAAGUUUGCUGAAACAUUUUGGCUAAAAAUCCCAUCAUGUUUUGUUUUCCGAUUGUUCACCCAUCUUGGGGCGAUCAAUUGAUUUAUAUUUUUCAGCCUCUCUAAAAAUGUAAGUAUACGUCAUAGGUUUAUUCGUUGAUCGAUGGUGCACUUAAUGACACUAAAAGAGCUUGGUUCGACGCAGAUCGGUGCUCAUUAAUUUAUUCAUUUGUGCAUUAAUUCGACGUUACACUGUACUAGCAUUGAAAUGCUAAUUAAGUUAAAUUGCUGAUACAUUUUCUGGUAAUGAGUUUUAGUAAAUCCGUAAACAGUCGCUUCAACAUUUUUCUACGAUUUGAAACUGCAUGUGAAACAAAUGGUGCAGUGACGUUAUUUAAUGCUGUAUCCGUAUCGUUUUCUUUUGUUCCCAUCAAUUUCCCCUCUACUGAUAUCCGACGGCAAAUGCGAGACGCCAUUGUUGUCGUUAACUUUUCAAAAAGCGUUGAUGCUAGGUUAGGAUAGGAGAGAAGUUAACUGUGCAAUUACCUCAAAGUUGAAAUUCCGCAUUUUACGUAAUAAAAGGGUUUCAGUGCAGUUUACGGGUCGUAAUCGGGCAGUGAAGUCAUGCAGUGCGCGUUUUGACAGUUUCGGUAGUUUUGGUUAAGAUUCAAUUCAACUUCCGCCAAAGAUGGCUAAUAACAAAAUCGGUAGCAACAGCAGCAGAUAAAGUGAAGGAAAAUCAACUGGAAAUGGAAGUGAAGUCGCAGAGCCAAAAAAGACGUUAGCCUCCAGUAAAUUUAUUCGACUGGGGACAAUCGUCUGGGCUAAGCUGGAUGGCUGGACUUGGUGGCCCGGUAAGUCACGCAUUUUUAUUAAAAUUGUUUUUUUUUUUCGGAAUUUUUAGUUAAUAUUUGAGAAAUUGUUGCCAUUGUUAUUCCUGUUAUUUUAUUUAUUCAAAUUUGUCGAUAUAUCACAAAGGGAUCGUUGUUACUCAUGACUGUGGGCUGCCUCCGAGAAAACCGACUAGUUACUGGAUAUAUUUUGGUUCGGCGGCCACCAGACUGUGUCCGAGGAAGUUAAAACAGAUGCCGGCGGAAAAACUAAGCGGUUUUCUAUAUGACAAUUUGGCCAGGCUGUUAAAUCAAGCUUACAACAGCGCCUCUAUGAAAGAGGAGUCUUGGAAGCCCUGCUGGUUUAAUACGACAACAAAUAUGUAUUCCAAUUCUUGACAUCAAACGUAUUUAAUUUUUUAAAAUCAACAGGCACUCGCCUUUAUUAGAGAUCAGACGAAAUUAAUUAAAGGCACGGCUGACAAAUUGAAGACGUGGGCUAUCAAACUCUUUGCGUCGUCAAAGACCACCAACAUUCGAGAUGUGGUCUUGGACGAGUUCCCGGAAUGGCUGCAACGUUCCAUCGAUCGGAUCAAAAACACACAAUACCAAGUUGAACAGGAUCGCCAGCGAGAUUUUCGUUUCUUUAUUACAUUUCUAUAGAUGAAACCAAUCAGCACAUUUGACAUGAAGGAUGCUCAAGGCUCAGCCAAACAUCGUCUGGUGUUCGUAUUAAAAUAAUCCGGAAUAAUCGUAAAAAUAAUUUCAAACGUAAAGCUAAAAGGAAUUUUGCUUUUAUUAGGUUGACUAACGUUCCGGAACAGAAUUUAAAUCCGCAAUUGGACGAGCAAGUCAUCAACAACGACCAUUCGGUUCGUCCAUUUCCAAUCUUCCGCUCAGCCGACAGCCUUUUUUCAUCUAAUACCCUGGGAUUCUUGAAGAUAUCG